UACAGAGGUGGCAAGCGUUGUUCGGAAUUACUGGGCGUAAAGGGCGCGUAGGCGGUUCGUUAAGUCCUGUGUGAAAUCCCCCGGCUCAACUGGGGAACUGCACAGGAAACUAGCGGGCUUGAGUUCGGGAGAGGGAAGCGGAAUUCCAGGUGUAGCGGUGAAAUGCGUAGAUAUCUGGAGGAACACCGGUGGCGAAGGCGGCAUCCUGGACUACUACUGACGCUGAGUGAGCGAAAGCCAGGGGAGCAAACGGG
rnacentral:rRNA from 1 species